UGAGCAAUCUGCCCUUCUCUUUGGAAUAAGCGUUGGAAACGACGUCUAAUGCCGAAUACGACCUCCUUUCGCAUGAUCGGAGGUGGAAAGCUCCGGCGGAGAAGGAUGAGCUCGCGGCCUAUCAGCUAGUUGGUGUGGGUAAUGGCCCACCAAGGCGACGACGGGUAGCCGGCCUGAGGAGGGUGACCGGCCACACUGGGACUGAGACACCGGCCCAGACCUCCGUACGGGAGGNAG
rnacentral:rRNA from 1 species